AGAGCGAACGCUGGCGGCAGGCCUAACACAUGCAAGUCGAGCGCCCCGCAAGGGGAGCGGCAGACGGGAGAGUAACACGUGGGAACGUACCCUUCAGUUCGGAACAACCCAGGGAAACUUGGGCUAAUACCGAAUACGUCCGUAAGGAGAAAGAUUUAUCGCUGAGGGAUCGGCCCGCGUCUGAUUAGCUAGUUGGUGAGGUAAUGGCUCACCAAGGCGACGAUCAGUAGCUGGUCUGAGAGGAUGAUCAGCCUCACUGGGACUGAGACACGGCCCAGACUCCUACGGGAGGCAGCAGUGGGGAAUAUUGGACAAUGGGCGCAAGCCUGAUCCAGCCAUGCCGCGUGGAUGAUGAAGGCCCUAGGUUGUAAAGUCCUUUCGACGGGGAAGAUAAUGACGGUACCCGUAGAAGAAGCCCGGCUAACUUCGCGCCAGCAGCCGC
rnacentral:rRNA from 1 species